UACGAAGGGGGCUAGCGGUGUUCGGAUUUACUGGGCGUAAAGCGCAUGUAGGCGGGUCGUUAAGUCGGGGGUGAAAGCCCGGAGCUCAACUCCGGAACUGCCUUCGAUACUGGCGACCUAGAGUGAAGGAGAGGCGAGUGGAAUUCCGAGUGUAGAGGUGAAAUUCAUAGAUAUUCGGAGGAACACCAGUGGCGAAGGCGGCUCGCUGGCCUUUUACUGACGCUGAGAUGCGAAAGCGUGGGGAGCAAACAGG
rnacentral:rRNA from 1 species